rnacentral:rRNA from 1 species
UUCCAGACUCCUACGGGAGGCAGCAGUGGGGAAUAUUGCACAAUGGGGGAAACCCUGAUGCAGCGACGCCGCGUGAGCGAUGAAGUAUUUCGGUAUGUAAAGCUCUAUCAGCAGGGAAGAAAAUGACGGUACCUGACUAAGAAGCCCCGGCUAACUACGUGCCAGCAGCCGCGGUAAUACGUAGGGGGCAAGCGUUAUCCGGAUUUACUGGGUGUAAAGGGAGCGUAGACGGCCAUGCAAGCCAGGGGUGAAAGCCCGGGGCCCAACCCCGGGACUGCUCUUGGAACUGCGCGGCUGGAGUGCAGGAGGGGCAGGCGGAAUUCCUGGUGUAGCGGUGAAAUGCGUAGAUAUCAGGAGGAACACCGGUGGCGAAGGCGGCCUGCUGGACUGCGACUGACGUUGAGGCCCGAAAGCGUGGGGAGCAAACAGGAUUAGAUACCCUAGUACUG